GAUGAACGCUGGCGGCGUGCUUAACACAUGCAAGUCGAACGGUGAAAGAGAGCUUGCUCUCUGGAUCAGUGGCGAACGGGUGAGUAACACGUGAGCAAUCUGCCCCUGACUCUGGGAUAAGCGCUGGAAACGGCGUCUAAUACCGGAUACGAGCUGCGAAGGCAUCUUCAGCAGCUGGAAAGAACUUCGGUCAGGGAUGAGCUCGCGGCCUAUCAGCUAGUUGGUGAGGUAACGGCUCACCAAGGCGUCGACGGGUAGCCGGCCUGAGAGGGUGACCGGCCACACUGGGACUGAGAGACGGCCCAGACUCCUACGGGAGGCAGCAGUGGGGAAUAUUGCACAAUGGGCGAAAGCCUGAUGCAGCAACGCCGCGUGAGGGACGACGGCCUUCGGGUUGUAAACCUCUUUUAGCAGGGAAGAAGCGAAAGUGACGGUACCUGCAGAAAAAGCGCCGGCUAACUACGUG
rnacentral:rRNA from 1 species